GUCCCCCAAAAUCAAAAUAAACAUAUAAAAUAACAUUAAUAAUAAUAAUAAUAAUAAUAUGGAUAGCAAGAGCACUCAGCAACAGGCAGCAGCAGCAGGGCAGGCCAAGGGACGAGGCCAGCCACAUAUUGAUAUUCAGCCGCAAGAGAAGGAUACCCAAAAGACUAGUCCUCCUGCUGCAAAAGAUGAUCAAUCUGAACAGCAGGGUGUAGGGCAAGGUCAAGGGCAAGCGCAAAGACAAGGGCAGCCGAAGUUCACAAAUGCACAAAUUGGGCUGUGAGGAGCGAUAUCCGACUCGGACCCAAUAUGAUUGAGACUCUUGAAUAAAUAAAGUAGAUGAAUCAAGAUCUUACCGUACGUUGAUAUCAGCUCAUCCCUCUGUGUAAUAUAUAUCUAGUUGAAUUUGGAUUACAUAUAUGAACAAAUAAAUUUGGAGUAAUUAAUAAAUAGAUUAAA